AUUGCACGCUGGCUGCAGGCUUAACACAUGCAAGUCGAGCGAGCGGCGGACGGGUGAGUAAUGUCUGGGAAACUGCCUGAUGGAGGGGGAUAACUACUGGAAACGGUAGCUAAUACCGCAUAUCAUCAGCUGUGCCCAUAUGGGAUUAGCUAGUAGGUGGGGUAAUGGCUCACCUAGGCGACGAUCCCUAGAUGGUCUGAGAGGAUGACAAGCCACACUGGAAGUGAGACACGGUCCAGACUCCGACGUGAGGAAGCAGUGGGGACUAUUGCAGAAUGGGCGCAAGCCUGAUGCAGCCAAGCCGAGUGUGGGAAAGAGGCCGUGGGGUUGUAAAGAACUUUCAGCGAGGAGGCGUUACUCGCAGAAGAAGCACCGGCUAACUCCGUGCCAGCAGCCGCGGUAAUAC
rnacentral:rRNA from 1 species